rnacentral:rRNA from 1 species
AGUGAACGCUGGCGGUAGGCCUAACACAUGCAAGUCGAACGGCAGCACAGUAAGAGCUUGCUCUUACGGGUGGCGAGUGGCGGACGGGUGAGGAAUACAUCCGAAUCUACUUUUUCGUGGGGGCUAACGUAGGGAAACUUACGCUAAUACCGCAUACGACCUACGGGUGAAAGCAGGGGAUCUUCGGACCUUGCGCGAUUGAAUGAGGCGAUGUCGGAUUAGCUAGUUGGCGGGGUAAAGGCCCACCAAGGCGACGAUCCGUAGCUGGUCUGAGAGGAUGAUCAGCCACACUGGAACUGAGACACGGUCCAGACUCCUACGGGAGGCAGCAGUGGGGAAUAUUGGACAAUGGGCGCAAGCCUGAUCCAGCCAUACCGCGUGGGUGAAGAAGGCCUUCGGGUUGUAAAGCCCUUUUGUUGGGAAAGAAAAGCAGCAGGUUAAUACCCCGCUGUUCUGACGGUACCCAAAGAAUAAGCACCGGCUAACUUCGUG